rnacentral:rRNA from 1 species
ACAUAAGACAAUGCAAGUCGAACGGAAGCGUUACGACGGAAGUGGAUUGAAGAUUAUCAGAUUGAAGCAGAAGAUGUAACAAUGGCUUAGUGGCGGACUGGUGAGUAACACGUAAGUAACCUGGCUAUUAGAGGGGAAUAACAGUGAGAAAUCAUUGCUAAUACCGUCAUAAGCUUGUAGUAUCGCAUGAUACAAGCAAGAAAAGGAGUAAUCCGCUAAUAGAUGGGCUUGCGGCUGAUUAGCUAGUUGGUUAGGUAACGGCUGACCAAGGCGACGAUCAGUAGCCGGGCUGAGAGGCUCAUCGGCCACAUUGGGACUGAGAUACGGCCCAGACUCCUACGGGAGGCAGCAGUCGGGAAUAUUGCGCAAUGGAGGAAACUCCUGACGCAGUGACGCCGCGUAUAGGAAGAAGGUUUUCGGAUUGUAAACUAUUUUAGACAGGGAAGAUAAAAGACUGUACCUGUAGAAUAAGCUCCGGCUAACUACGUGCCAGCCGCGGC